AAAAUCUCACCAUUAGACUACGGAAAGUAGCUUUGUGCUUGUGUCAGCCAGAUCAACACGAAGAAGCCAUCCACGUUUUGCCUCUCAUCAGAUACUGUAUACAUAAACAGAGAAUGAAAUUUAAAGACAGCAAAAAUAAAUGAAGA